rnacentral:rRNA from 1 species
AUGCAAUCGAAGAGAAGACGAGGAGGAAGAAUGCACGCAGGGGAGGCAGCAAACAAACCCCACGCAGCCAACGAGCGGGUCGCUACGCACACAGGCGGCCGCGGAAGAUCCAGAACCAUGGCAGCAGUUGCAACAUGCUGCAUCGUCUCAGGGCAGGGAGCUCACCACGCUGAGCUCACGAUGCAUGCACGUGCAACAAUCCUCUUGGUACGCACAAUAUUUUUCUUAGCAGGUUACAUGGAGAAGGAGGAGAUGCCGCCACCGUACCAUGGAGAAUGGAGCCGCGGAGCUCGCCAAGACGACGCCCAUCGCCAACAAUCAACCCGGUGCCGCGGAGAAUUUUGGCGGAGCGCUCACAAGGAGGACGCUCACGGUCUACUUCAUCAUGCUGGAACGAGGGACGGAGGCGUGGAGCCUGCAUGGAGGCCGUUUCGCGGAGAAUGGCGUCGUGGAGCUCGAGGGACGCCACCGACAUUCACUUCGUCAAGAUGGUGCCGCGGUGGAUGGAUGGAGCUUGCUAGGACGAUACCCGUCUUUUCUUCAUCAAGCUGGCGCCUUGGAGGACGAUGCCCAUUGUCUUCAUCAAGCGGGCGCCACGGAGGAGGACGGAGCCAUGGCGCUCGCAAGGAGGACGCCGCCAACGGCAACACCAUCAAGCUGGAGCCCGGACACGUAGAGCUCAUAAGGAUGCCGCCGGCAUGCCGCGGUUGA